rnacentral:rRNA from 1 species
GAUGAACGCUGGCGGCGUGCCUAAUACAUGCAAGUCGAGCGAACAGACGAGGAGCUUGCUCCUCUGACGUUAGCGGCGGACGGGUGAGUAACACGUGGAUAACCUACCUAUAAGACUGGGAUAAAUUCGGGAAACCGGAGCUAAUACCGGAUAAUAUAUUGAACCGCAUGGUUCAAUAGUGAAAGACGGUUUUGCUGUCACUUAUAGAUGGAUCCGCGCCGCAUUAGCUAGUUGGUAAGGUAACGGCUUACCAAGGCAACGAUGCGUAGCCGACCUGAGAGGGUGAUCGGCCACACUGGAACUGAGACACGGUCCAGACUCCUACGGGAGGCAGCAGUAGGGAAUCGUCCGCAAUGGGCGAAAGCCUGACGGAGCAACGCCGCGUGAGUGAUGAAGGUCUUCGGAUCGUAAAACUCUGUUAUUAGGGAAGAACAAAUGUGUAAGUAACUAUGCACGUCUUGACGGUACCUAAUCAGAAAGCCACGGCUAACUACGUG